AUGGCUCAGGAUGAACGCUGGCGGCGUGCUUAACACAUGCAAGUCGAACGGAGUUUUAACGGAAGUUUCGGAUGGAAGUUAGAACUAGUGGCGGACGGGUGAGUAACGCGUGGGUAACCUGCCUCAUACAGGGGGAUAACAGUUAGAAAUGACUGCUAACACCGCAUAACAUAGCGAAACCGCAUGAUUUUGCUAUCAAAUAUUUAUAGGUAUGAGAUGGGCCCGCGUCUGAUUAGCUAGUUGGUGGGGUAAAAGCCUACCAAGGCGACGAUCAGUAGCCGGCUUGAGAGAGUGACCGGCCACAUUGGGACUGAGACACGGCCCAAACUCCUACGGGAGGCAGCAGUGGGGAAUAUUGGACAAUGGGGGAAACCCUGAUCCAGCGAACCGCCGCGUGAGUGAAGAAGUAUUUCGGUAUGUAAAGCUCUAUCAGCAGGGAAGAUAAUGACAGUACCUGACUAAGAAGCCCCGGCUAACUACGUGCCAGCCGCUGC
rnacentral:rRNA from 1 species